rnacentral:rRNA from 1 species
UACGUGGGGAGCAAGCGUUGUUCGGAUUUACUGGGCGUAAAGGGCGCGUAGGCGGCUUGACAAGUCACUUGUGAAAUCUCCGGGCUUAACCCGGAGCGGCCAAGUGAUACUGUCGUGCUAGAGUGCGGAAGGGGCUACUGGAAUUCUCGGUGUAGCGGUGAAAUGCGUAGAUAUCGAGAGGAACACCUGCGGCGAAGGCGGGUAGCUGGGCCGACACUGACGCUGAGGCGCGAAAGCCAGGGGAGCGAACGGG